rnacentral:rRNA from 1 species
CCUACGGGGGGCAGCAGUGAGGAAUAUUGGUCAAUGGCCGGAAGGCUGAACCAGCCAAGCCGCGUGAAGGACGAAGGUGCCAAGCAUUGUAAACUUCUUUUGUCAAGGGACAAAAUCAGGCUCGAGAGCCUGACCGAGUGUACUUUAAGAAAAAGCAUCGGCUAACUCCGUGCCAGCAGCCGCGGUAAUACGGAGGAUGCGAGCGUUAUCCGGAUUGAUUGGGUUUAAAAGGUGCGUAGGCGUGCUGUUAAGUCAGCGGUAAAAGCCCGGGGCUCAACCCCGGCGAGCCGUUGAAACUGGCGGUCUUGAGAUGGCGAGAGGUAGGCGGAAUGCGCAGUGUAGCGGUGAAAUGCUUAGAUAUUGCGCAGAACUCCGAUUGCGAAGGCAGCAUACCGGCGGCGAUCUGAUGCUGAGGCACGAAAGCGUGGGUAUCGAACAGGAUUAGAUACCCGAGUAGUC